GCGACUUCCAGACUGCUUCUGAUGGAGGAAAGGCAGUCUGGCGCGUGGACUCACGGCUGCCCUUGGUAGCAUGAAUCUUAUCAGCACAGAGAGAAAACGGCACUGAAAACUCAUUGCAGUUGCAGAGGGGUCGAAGAAGGACAGCAAGCCAUCUUCGGUGGAGAACUGGCGGGAAAUGAAUUUCUUGGCCCCGUGUGGCCUGGCCUUCCCUGGAGACAGCCCAGCCACGGCGAGCGCACUCUCCUCCAAGCAAGGCAGCUCUGUUCCAUGCUAUCACUCGGGGUACCAGGCUUCAGUCUUGUGUCCACAUCAUUUGAAGGACUUGAGGCCACCCACUGGAUUCUCUGCACCCAGCGAACAGGCAAAGGAAGAGGAAGAGAAUGUGAGGCACCAAAAGGGAAGGCUUUAAGGCCAGCACCAACUAAAAGAGGAUUCCCUUACUUCGGCUUACAUCAUGCAUUGGCCAUAACUCAGUCACAAUGCUUCAUAGUACCCUUGGAGUCACAUGGCUACAAAGAAUGCUGGGAAAUGUAGUCCAACUACAUUUGUGUGUCCAGGAAGAAAAGAAAAUGGUGGGCACCUGACACUGUCUCCGUCACAAGAACACUUAGCAAUGAGGUAAAACACAGAGUGGGUCAGUGCAGUGGCCAGUGGUAGUGUGUAAACCAAUUCACCAGACAGAAAUAACAAAAGCAAGAGCUAAGUCAUAAGUAACCUGAUUUUUUUUUCACUUGAAAAAUUCAUCCUGCUUAUUGAGCCAAAGCAUUUUCUCUUUUAGAUGACAAUCAGAUACAGUUAUUAAUGAAUGGAAAUUAGUUUUCCACCUAACACACAGGAUGAAUCUCUGAAAAUAGUCGAGUACAUAAGAUCAGUAGAAGAAAGGAAUCCAUGGUCAUAUUCUCCAGAGCAUACCUGGCUCUGUAUCUAAUCACUUACUCAAGGGGUAUUUAUUAAAUAUGUCAAGCCA